UCUCUAUGUAGCUUUGGAGGCUGUCCUGGAACUUGUUUUGUAGACCAGGCUGGCCUCAAACUCACAGAGAUCCACCUGCCUCUGCCUUCCGAGUGCUGGGAUUCAUGGCAUAUGCCACCACACCUGGAUUGGAGGCUUUUAAAAAGGCAAUUGUGACAUAAUUUAUAUAUAACAGAGUACAUCUUUUUUUCUUUUAUUUUUCUGAGACAUAGGUCUCAUUACAAGGCCUUGGCUGGCCUGGAACUCACUAUGUAGAGCAGGUUGGCCUUGAGCUCACAGAGUUACACCUACCUCUACCUGCCAAGUGCUGGGAUUAAAAGUAUGUGCCAACACCCUGGGAACUACAUAAUUUUGAAAAAUAUACUUUUUUUAGUUUUUCUUAAUCACAAGGCAGCGUAAUUAUCUCCACCACUACCUAAUUUUAGAAGACUCUUAACACUCAAAAAAAAAAAAGAAACUGUCAUACUUCUUAGUAAGCAUUCUCGUGUCUUCUUGGCUGACACUUGCCCUACUUCCUGUGUGUGGAGUUUCCCUUUCUCAGCAUUCAUGUAACUGGAACCCUGCACCCAAGCAUGGUGGUGCACAGCUGUAAGCCUAGCGCUUGAAAGGUGCAGGAAGAAGGGACAAGGGUUAGGUCAUCCUCAGCAGCUAGAAAGUCCAAAGCCUGGGCUACUUGAGCCCCCAUCUCCAACAAUAAAAAACAAUCCACCAGUGAUGUUUGAGUGUUCUGUCUGCAGGUAUCCCACCAGAAGAGGACACAGGAUCUCAUUUCGGAUGGUUGUGAGCCAAUAUGUCGUUGCUGGGAAUUGAACUCAGGACCUCUGGAAGACCAGCUAGUGUUCUUAACUACUGAGCCAUCUCUCCAGCCCUACCACAACAACUCUUACAAAGGAAAACAUUUAACUGGGGCUGGCUUACAGUUCAGAGUUUUCAUUCAUUAUCAUCACGGUAGGAAGCAUGGCAGCAUGCAGGCAGACAUGGUGCUGGAGACAUAGCUGAGAGCUCUACAUCCGGAUCAGCAGACAGCAGGAAGAGACAGUGAGCCAACUAGGCCUGGCUUGAGAUUUUGAAAUCUCAAAGCCCACCGCCCCCAGUGACACAUUUUCUCCAACAAGGCCAUACCUACUCUAACAGACCACAUGUCCUAGUCCUUUCAAAUAAUGCCACUCCCUGUGAGCCUUUUAGGGCCAUUUACAUUCAAAUCACCAUAGUUAUAUCUGAUUUAAAAAUAUUAUUAUGGGCACUCUAGUGAGGAUUAAGUGGUAUUAAUGAUUUUAUCCUUGCUGUCCUGGUGAGAUACCAU
rnacentral:lncRNA from 1 species